UCGGGAAUAUUGGGCAAUGGACGAAAGUCUGACCCAGCAAUGCCGCGUGAGUGAUGAAGGUCUUCGGAUCGUAAAACUCUGUCUUUGGGACGAACAAGGUGACGUACCAAUGAGA
rnacentral:rRNA from 1 species